AGGGAGUUUGAUCAUGGCUCAGGAUGAACGCUGGCGGCGUGCCUAAUACAUGCAAGUAGAACGCUGAAGCUUGGUGCUUGCACCGAGCGGAUGAGUUGCGAACGGGUGAGUAACGCGUAGGUAACCUGCCUGGUAGCGGGGGAUAACUAUUGGAAACGAUAGCUAAUACCGCAUAACAGUAGAUAUUGCAUGAUAUCUGCUUGAAAGGGGCAAUUGCUCCACUACCAGAUGGACCUGCGUUGUAUUAGCUAGUUGGUGAGGUAACGGCUCACCAAGGCGACGAUACAUAGCCGACCUGAGAGGGUGAUCGGCCACACUGGGACUGAGACACGGCCCAGACUCCUACGGGAGGCAGCAGUAGGGAAUCUUCGGCAAUGGACGGAAGUCUGACCGAGCAACGCCGCGUGAGUGAAGAAGGUUUUCGGAUCGUAAAGCUCUGUUGUAAGAGAAGAACGAGUGUGAGAGUGGAAAGUUCACACUGUGACGGUAUCUUACCAGAAAGGGACGGCUAACUACGUGCCAGCAGCCGCGGUAAUACGUAGGUCCCGAGCGUUAUCCGGAUUUA
rnacentral:rRNA from 1 species